GAAGGUCGUUGCACGGUGGUGCCUAAUUUUUCACCUGGAGCCCAUCUAGAUUGGGAGCUUGCUCCCUGAUGAUUAGCGGCGGACGGGUGAGUAACACGUGGGUAACCUGCCUGUAAGACUGGGAUAACUCCGGGAAACCGGGGCUAAUACCGGAUAACUUUUUUCUUCGCAUGAAGAAGAAUUGAAAGAUGGCUCCGGCUAUCACUUACAGAUGGACCCGCGGCGCAUUAGCUAGUUGGUGAGGUAACGGCUCACCAAGGCGACGAUGCGUAGCCGACUUGAGAGGGUGAUCGGCCACACUGGGACUGAGACACGGCCCAGACUCCUACGGGAGGCAGCAGUAGGGAAUCUUCCGCAAUGGACGAAAGUCUGACGGAGCAACGCCGCGUGAGUGAUGAAGGUUUUCGGAUCGUAAAACUCUGUUGUUAGGGAAGAACAAGUAUCGUUCGAAUAGGGCGGUACCUUGACGGUACCUAACCAGAAAGCCACGGCUAACUACGUGCCAGCACCCGCGGUAAUACGUAGGUGGCAAGCGUUGUCCGGAUUAUUGGGCGUAAAGCGCGCGCAGGCGGUUUCUUAAGUCUGAUGUGAAAUCUUGCGGCUCACCGCAAGCGGCCAUUGGAAACUGGGAGACUUGAGUGAAAAAGGAGAGUGAAUUCCCGUGUACGGUGAAUGCUAAAGUGUGGA
rnacentral:rRNA from 2 species